GUUAAUUAUUAGUUAAAUAUUGCAUAAUAUCUUAUACGGUUUCUAUUAGUUUCAUAUGAUUGUUAUCUAUGGAUGAUUGGUCAAUUUUUUUUAUCUUAAUUAGUUGGUUAAUUUACUCAAUAACUAAAAAUGGCCAAUGAAAAAAUCUCUCCGUCGGUUUUGGAGGCUUCCACAUUUUAAAAGACGGAAAUUUAGUUUAAGUUUAUAUAAGUUUUAUAUUAAAAUUGGCCAAUGAAAAAAUCUCUUCGUCGAUUUUAGAGGUCUUCCCAUUUUAAAAGACGAAAUUUUAGUUUAAGUUUAUAUAUUUUAUUUGUUAAAAAUGGCCAAUGAAAACAUCUCCCCGUCGAUUUUAGAGCCUUCCCAUUUUAAAAGACGAAAUUUUAGUUUAAGUUUAUAUAUUUUAUUUGUUAAAAAUGGCCAAUGAAAACAUCUCCCCGUCGAUUUUAGAGCCUUCCCAUUUUAAAAGACGAAAUUUUAGUUUAAGUUUAUAUAUUUUAUUUGUUAAAAAUGGCCAAUGAAAACAUCUCCCCGUCGAUUUUAGAGCCUUCCCAUUUUAAAAGACGAAAUUUUAGUUUAAGUUUAUAUAUUUUAUUUGUUAAAAAUGGCCAAUGAAAACAUCUCCCCGUCGAUUUUAGAGCCUUCCCAUUUUAAAAGACGAAAUUUUAGUUUAAGUUUAUAUAUUUUAUUUGUUAAAAAUGGCCAAUGAGAAAAUCUCUCCGUCGGUUUUGGAGGCCUCCACAUUGUAAAACACGGGAAUUUAGUUUAAGUUUAUAUGUACUAUUUGUUAAAAUUGACCGAUGAAGAAAUUAUUGUCGAUUUCUAAGGCCUCUCAUGUUAAUAAGACGGAUGUUUAUUUUUAAGUUAUUGUUUAAUUCAUUUACUUUUAGUCAUAUAUUUAUUUAGUACUAACAUUUUUACUAAGUGUCUUUACAGGUACCCCGAAGUCACUUCUCAUCGAAGUCAUUCGAAUAAAGUUCGAAUGUUAUAUUCAUUAUUAUGUAUAUUGUUGACGAUAGACAAAUAUUAGGUUGUUUCUCAUAUUACUUGUUUACUUUAUUACUCGUGUAUAUUGUAUGUUUGUUAUAUUUGUAUAAUAUUUUUACAUCCUCCUCAAUUUGAAAAAAAUAAAUUCAGUCGGGACCCACAGUUGUGGAUUUCGAAGGAUGCCUAACAUCUUCCCUUCGAAAUAACUUGAACCCCUUACCUAGAAUAUCUUGGUUUCGUAGAUCACUUAAAUGGUUUCCUAUUUUUUUCUAAAAUUAGGUGGCGACUCCUUUAAAAUUCAUUUAUUCUUAAAAUUCUUUUAAAAUUGAAUCAAUUGUUUAUUUUUUGAGUCACCGCGACGUUUCGCCCUAUUCGAAUAGAGUAGGG
rnacentral:lncRNA from 1 species